rnacentral:piRNA from 1 species
UACACCACUCUGCAUGUGGAGCCUGCUGC